rnacentral:rRNA from 1 species
CGAGUGAAGCGGCAACAGCUCAAAUUUGAAAUCUGGCCUUCUGGUCCGAGUUGUAAUUUGUAGAGGAUGAUUUUGGUUAGGUACCUUCCGAGUUCCUUGGAACAGGACGCCUUAGAGGGUGAGAGCCCCGUACGGUUGGAUGCCGAGCCUCUGUAAAUCUCCUUCGACGAGUCGAGUAGUUUGGGAAUGCUGCUCUAAAUGGGAGGUAAAUUUCUUCUAAAGCUAAAUACCGGCCAGAGACCGAUAGCGCACAAGUAGAGUGAUCGAAAGAUGAAAAGCACUUUGAAAAGAGGGUUAAAUAGUACGUGAAAUUGUUGAAAGGGAAGGAUUUAUGACCAGACCUUUGCCUUGCGGAUCAUCCGGUGUUCUCACCGGUGCACUUCGCUUGGUUGAGGCCAGCAUCAGUUUUGGCGGCGGGAUAAAGACUUCAGGAACGUGACUCCCCCGGGAGUGUUAUAGCCUGCUGUGUAAUACCGCCGCUGGGACUGAGGACCGCGCUUCGGCUAGGAUGCUGGCAUAAUGGUCAUCAAUCACCCGUCUUGAAACACGGACCAAGGAGUCGAACAUUUAUGCGAGUUUUUGGGUGUUAAACCCUCAAGCGUAAUGAAAGUGAACGGAGGUGAGAGCCCUUACGGGUGCAUCAUCGACCGAUCCUGAUGUCUUCGGAUGGAUUUGAGUAAGAGCAUAACUGUUCGGACCCGAAAGAUGGUGAACUAUGCGUGGAUAGGGUGAAGCCAGAGGAAACUCUGGUGGAGGCUCGCAGCGGUUCUGACGUGCAAAUCGAUCGUCAAAUCUGCGCAU